GUAACGCGUGAGAAUCUGGCUUCAGGUCGGGGACAACCACUGGAAACGGUGGCUAAUACCGGAWAUGCCGAGAGGUGAAAGAUUAAUUGCCUGAAGAUGARCUCGCGUCUGAUUAGCUAGUUGGGAGUGUAAGARACUACCAAGGCGACGAUCAGUAGCUGGUCUGARAGGAUGAUCAGCCACACUGGGACUGARACACGGCCCAGACUCCUACGGGAGGCAGCAGUGGGGAAUUUUCCGCAAUGGGCGAAAGCCUGACGGARCAAUACCGCGUGAGGGAGGAAGGSUCUUGGGUUGUAAACCUCUUUUCUCAAGGAAGAAAAAAAUGACGGUACUUGAGGAAUAAGCAUCGGCUAACUCCGUGCCAGCAGCCGCGGUAAUACGGARGAUGCAAGCGUUAUCCGGAAUGAUUGGGCGUAAAGCGUCCGCAGGUGGCUGUGAAAGUCUGCUGUUAAAGAAUGAGGCUCAACCUCAUCAGARCAGUGGAAACUACACGGCUAGAGUGCGUUCGGGGUAGAGGGAAUUCCUGGUGUAGCGGUGAAAUGCGUAGAUAUCAGGAAGAACACCGGUGGCGAARGCGCUCUACUAGGCCGCAACUGACACUGARGGA
rnacentral:rRNA from 2 species